rnacentral:snoRNA from 1 species
AAACCAUGUGAUGAAUAUGGAAUUACAUUUUCUCAUGACGGUCAUCUGAGAUUCACUUUGAUGUAAUCAUCCUAUAUUUCUGAGUGGUU